AUGGGGCACUGGCUGACCCUCGUCUUCUCCUCUCUCUCAUCUCCCUCUCCAGGUUCCCUGGUCCAGGCAGUGCUGACUCAGCCGUCCUCAGUGUCAGCAAACCUGGGACAAACUGUCCAGAUCACCUGCUCUGGGGUUAGCAGCUACAGCAGUGAAGCUGUUGGCUGGUUCCAGCAGAAGACACCUGGCAGUGCCCCUGUCACUGUGAUCUACUACAACGACAAGAGACCCUCGGACAUCCCUUCGCGAUUCUCCGGAUCCAAGUCCGGCACCACGGGCACAUUAACCAUCACUGGGGUCCAAGCCGAGGACGAGGCUGUCUAUUACUGUGGUGGCAGUGACAGCAGCGGUGCUGGUGUGGUCGAGGCAUCCCGCAGGGUGACCAUUUGUGACUGCGGGUGCUGUGGGAUGCUGAUGUUGAGGUUUGGGCACUGCAGCUUCCAGGUGUCGUUUUGCAGGUGGUGGUGCACCAGGCACCCUUGGCGUCAGGGAUCCCUGGGUGGGACCAACAUGCUGUUCUGCACCUUGAACAUGAGGCCAUCACCACCAGCAAUAACUCAGGUGUGA